CUCCCGAACAUCUCCCAUUUGUUUGUUGAAGGUGCCUUUGACCGGAGCGUGACCCUGCUGGAGGUGUGCGGGAGCUGGCCCGAGAACUUCGGUCUCCGUCACAUGUCUUCCAUGGAGCACACUGACGAGGGCCUCCGGGAGCGCCUGGCCGAUGCGAUGUGCGAAUCCCCCAGCAGGGACAUAGUGGGAUCAGGAACAGGUACAAAGAAGAGGUGUGAUCAGAGAUCACGUACAUCUCACCCAAUGAAACAGCCGGUGAAGUAGCAGUAAAAAACAUCACCACAAAGAGGCACAUGGCUUUGAAAUGUUUUGAGCUUCAGCGAGAGGGAAGCAUAGAGACGCUCAGUAACAGCUCCGGGUCCACCAGUGGAAGUAUUCCUCGCAAUUUCGAUGGCUACAGAUCGCCCCUCCCGACUAAUGAGAACCAGCCCCUCAGCCUCUUCCCCACAGGCUUCCCCUGAGUUCGUCAAUCACACGAGGAGAGAUGGGGACGGGGUAACGAGCCGCCUCUCUGCCCAAGCAAUCCGAUGUGCCCGCUGCCCGCUGCGCGCUGGAUGGUUCUCGUUACCCUGAUCGACAUCGGCAACUCUUCCACGUAAACCUUCCUGGAACGUACUCACAAAACCUUGACUUUGUUUUCUGUGCAAUACGAAGAGACUCCGUCUUCAAUCUCGCUAGCUCCGCGGCCGCUUUGUUCGCUGUGUUUGGGAAGAGGUUGGUUGAGGAGGAAUCUGUCUGAGCCGUUCUUGGCCGAGCACGUGGUGUCACAGCUGCUCUCUGCUUUCUGUGUUCAGAGAUGAAGGGAAUCUCUGAACUAUGGGUGUGCACCCACCGGGAGCUGCAGCCCUCUGCGAAGUGCCGAGCGGUAAUGAGUGAGCUCCAGAGAAUGGGAGUUCAGGGGCGUUUGUGGAUAGGGCUGAUGGUGUUUCCUCUCCCCGGUUGCGCUCCUUGCUGCCCUCCUUCCCCCUGUACUGAUGCCAGGAGUAUUACAAGUGGAAAAUGUUUCUUUUUGUUCUUUGGAAGAAUGAUCUCUCUUGCUCCAGUUUUAUUCUAGCCAUGUAUUCUAGAAACAUACAUAAUUGACUAACUGCAGUCACAGAUUUCUCAUCUUUGGUUAUAAACGUUGUUCACUGGAACUCGGCUGUCUGUCCAGAAAUGCAUGUGUCAUUGAAUAAAUCGAAGUUAAACCCGAAA